rnacentral:rRNA from 1 species
UACGUAGGGUGCGAGCGUUGUCCGGAAUUAUUGGGCGUAAAGAGCUCGUAGGCGGUUUGUCGCGUCUGCUGUGAAAACCCGAGGCUCAACCUCGGGCCUGCAGUGGGUACGGGCAGACUAGAGUGCGGUAGGGGAGAUUGGAAUUCCUGGUGUAGCGGUGGAAUGCGCAGAUAUCAGGAGGAACACCAAUGGCGAAGGCAGAUCUCUGGGCCGUAACUGACGCUGAGGAGCGAAAGCAUGGGGAGCGAACGGG